GCUGCUUCAUAUCAAAACGGUCUGUGGGUUAUUGGCUUUUUUGUUUGUUUCACAGCAGUCUGUUAGCAAAAAGGAUGCUCGGGAGGAAGGGCUCAGGGGAGCCGGGGGCGGCAGGGCUUGCCCCGGGCUCUGCUGUGGCCCCGGUAGCAGCGGACGGGCGCGGUGCGGUGUCACGGUACCUACAGGGAGGCGAGGGAUAAGGAGCUGAUCGGAAAGUACAUUGCCUGCAUCUCGGUUUAAAAGGCAGUGCAGAGCCUUAAGACGGUGUUCAAAGUGCGGAUCCCAAACAAUGUAAUCUGAGACAGCCUUGAGAUGACACCAAGAGAAGUUGCCACGGCUGGGAGGGGAGGGAAAAAAAGUAUUUUAGGAGUUUUGUAGCGCAGCGCAGGUAAAGGGGCCUCGACGGGAAGGCAGCCCCCGUUCAACUUUUCGUGACCGCUCCCUUUAGCCUUUACAAAGGAGAUCUAGAGUUAAAGACUGAGUGAGUUCUGAAGAAUUUAAGUCCUUUCAUGGCCGUGUCGGGAGCAAAGCUGAGAUUUUUUUUUCUUCUGUCUGACCCGCUGUUCCUCUCAUGAUUCCCAUCGGGGGGAUAAACCCCUCAAAACUCUAAGUUAACGAUAAUACUGUUUAUAUGUAUCAAAUGUGUACAGACAUCUGACCCAGUGCGGCUGUUCCUAUGAGGUAGAGAGACGACUGUCCCUGGCAAAAUGGUGAAUAAUAUGAAAUUACUUUUUUUCCCCCCCUCUCUUUUCUGCCUGCAAGCACUUUAGGGAGCAGAUGAUACCAAAUUUAUUCAACUAGCAGCUGCCACACAGAUCAAGGUUCUUCCGAGACAGAGAAAGCAGGAAGAAAAUCUUUCCCCAUAGGAAUCAUUACCGUUUCUCUAAGAGAAGACAUUUGCAAACAACAGGAAGAAGUCCAGGAUCCAGUUUCUGCUUAGUAAAUAAAAGGUCAUUAGGAAUUCAGUCAGGACAAACUGUCUCCUCCGACACCGAGAAGCAACAAGCAAUGCCAGGGCGUUAUAUCUGUGCUCCUCCUCAUCAACUGAAUCCAAGCAAAUGCCAUCUAGUUCACCCUAGGUAAGAUAUUCUUGCAAAAUGUAGAUCUCCAUGAAAUAUAUGUAAUCAUUAACACUGAAGUCCUCUUUGGAACUAAUUUUUCUCUGGAACUGAGCAGAGCUUUCU
rnacentral:lncRNA from 13 species